rnacentral:rRNA from 1 species
UAUUGGUCAAUGGGCGCGAGCCUGAACCAGCCAAGUAGCGUGAAGGAUGACGGCCCUAUGGGUUGUAAACUUCUUUUAUAUGGGAAUAAAGUUUGGUAUGUAUACCAUUUUGUAUGUACCAUAUGAUUAAGGAUCGGCUAACUCCGUGACAGCAGCCGCGGUAAUACGGAGGAUCCGAGCGUUAUCCGGAUUUAUUGGGUUUAAAGGGUGCGUAGGUGGUUAAUUAAGUCAGCGGUGAAAGUUUGUGGCUCAACCAUAAAAUUGCCGUUGAAACUGGUUGACUUGAGUAUAUUUGAGGUAGGCGGAAUGCGUGGUGUAGCGGUGAAAUGCAUAGAUAUCACGCAGAACUCCGAUUGCGAAGGCAGCUCACUGGACUGUUGACUGACACUGAGGCUCGAAAGCGUGGGUAGCAA